GCCCUCGUAGCUCAGGGGAUAGAGCAGUGGCCUUCUAAUCCACCGGUCGGGGGUUCGAUUCCCUCCGGGGGCACCA
rnacentral:tRNA from 1 species